rnacentral:lncRNA from 1 species
CCCCCGAUCUUUUCUAUAGUAAUUUAAGCCAAGGUGAUAUAAUAACACAUUAAGUAAAACAAUACGGACAAUUUCACACACCACUUAUUUUUGGACUGAUUAAAUUUUCCUUUCACGUCUAAAUUACCAGACUAUUAGUGACAAGGCGAUAACACAUUACCGUUUAGUAUUUACGCUUUUUUCUUUUUUUUUUUUUAACACAUUACCAUUU